AGUGGCAAACGGGUGAGUAACACGUGGGUGACCUACCUCAGAGUGGGGAACAACAGACCGAAAGGUUUGCUAAUACCGCAUAUGCUCGAUGAUUCAUUUUAUCAUGCAAAGGCGCAAGUCGCUCUGAGAGGGGCCCGCGUCCCAUCAGGUAGUUGGUGAGGUAAUGGCCCACCAAGCCGAUGACGGGUAGCUGUUCUGAGAGGAAGAUCAGCCACAAUGGAACUGAGAUACGGUCCAUACUCCUACGGGAGGCAGCAGUGAGGAAUAUUGCACAAUGGACGAAAGUCUGAUGCAGCGACGCCGCGUGGGUGACGAAGGCCUUCGGGUCGUAAAACCCUUUUGGCAGGGACGAGUGAGGACGGUACCUGCAGAAUAAGUCUCGGCUAACUACGUGCCAGCAGCCGCGGUAAAACGUAGGAGGCGAGCGUUAUCCGGAUUUACUGGGCGUAAAGCGUGCGUAGGCGGUUGGUCAAGUCAGAUGUUAAAGCCCCUGGCUCAACUGGGGGAGGUCAUUUGAUACUGAUCGGCUUGAGGGUGAGAGAGGAGAGUGGAAUUCCCGGUGUAGCGGUGGAAUGCGUAGAGAUCGGGAGGAACACCAGUGGCGAAAGCGGUUCUCUGGCUCACUUCUGACGCUGAGUGCACGAAAGCGUGGGUAGCAAACGGGAUUAGAUACCCCGGUAGUCCACGCCCUAAACGAUGA
rnacentral:rRNA from 1 species